AAGAAUUAUGGUUUGAACUACGUAACAAUUACCUAGACAUCUUUUGGACUUCAGUUAACCUGUGUCAAGCACUGCAGUAGAUUCUGAAGAUACAAAAAUAAAUAAAACAUUCCUGCCCUCAAGACACUUACACUCUUAUGUGUAACACUGUGUGACCAUUCAUCUGGGCCUUCCUGAGACAGUCUUGGUUUACACCUGUUUUCCCAAUUUGUGACAACUGAGAUUCAGAGAUGUCCAAUCUACUCACAUAAAUAGCCUGGUUGAAGAUGGCUGAGCGUAAAACAGAAUGCAAGUCAGCUGGAGCACGUACUACUGGAGGCAGAGCCCCAUGAGAAGGGGCCAAGAACCCGCACCCAUCAAAAUCAAGAAGAAAGGCUGAACCCGGAGAGAAAAGGGAGCACUGUUCACAGUAGCAAUGACAUGGAGUCAACCUAAAUGUCCAUCAAUGAUAGACUGGAUAAAGAAAAUGUGGUACAUAUACACCAUGGAAUACUAUGCAGCCAUAAAAAGGAAUGAGAUCAUGCCCUUUGCAGGGACAUGGAUGGAGCUGGAAGCUAUUAUCUUCAGCAAAAGAAUGCAGGAACAGAAAACCAAAUACUGGAUGUUCUCACGUCAACUGAUGUUGCCAUGCAGAUCCCUUGGUUGCUAUGAGAUGGUAACAUCACUCUGCCCCACCAUUGGCCAGUGCCUCCUCAGCUGCGGUGCCUCCCAGGCUGUGUGGUUCUCACGCGGGCCACUGACACAGAGCUGUUACUAUGGUGAACUUUACAAUUUCCUUUGAUUGGUGGAUUUCAGAAAUAGGCCAUCAGCGGAAUUCAUUAUAUUCAGCUAAGUAAAAAUGAAAAAUAAAUACUAUAACUUUCCCCUCAUCACUAACAUGAAGGAAACGUGACCCUUCAUGACAUAAUAAAUCGCUGUUCGGUAACUUAGGAUCCUUCAGGGGACUGAAGCGGGAUGAUCCUCCUAUGCCAAAUUUGGGUGGGAAAGAUAUUCCCUGUAGCUUUGAGUCGACUCUUCAGAGUUAAGGGCAGUGGGCCAACCAGAGUUGGAACUUCAGAGUUGGGAGGAGGUGUGGGAUGGGGCAUGCAUUGAAAUGUAAACUCUAUUGUCUCUGAAGUGAUGGGUGAUGCUGGGGGCCUGAGUGUGGAGGGCAGUUUUACAUCUCAGGACAAUGUUUUCUCAGAUGCUCUUCCAGAAAGAAAAGCCAGGAGUACUCCUGGCUGGAGGCGGCAUGCCUGAGGUCAGAGUCAAAGUAGGGUUUGUGCUGUCUGAAUCCUUUCUCCCACUCUCCCCAGCCUGGCUCAGCUUCUCAGCUUCUCAGGUGGAUUGGCCUCUGAGCCCAAGCCAAGCCAUCGCAUCCCCUGUGACUUGCCCGUAUAUAUGCCCAGAUGGCCUGAAGUAACUGAAGAAUCACAAAAGAAGUGAAUAUGCCUUGCCCCACCUUGACUGAUGACAUUCCACCACAAAAGAAGUGUAAAUGGCCGGUCCUUGCCUUAACUGAUGACAUUACCUUGUGAAAGUCCUUUUCCUGGCUCAUCCUGGCUCAAAAAGCACCCCCACUGAGCAUCUUGCGACUCCCACUCCUGCCCACUGAGCACCUUGUGACCCCCACUCCUGCCUGCCAGAGAACAAACCCCCUUUGACUGUAAUUUUCCUUUACCUACCCAAAUCCUAUAA
rnacentral:lncRNA from 1 species